GAUGAACGCUGGCGGCGUGCCUAAUACAUGCAAGUCGAGCGAACGGACGAGAAGCUUUCUUCUCUGAUGUUAGCGGCGGACGGGUGAGUAACACGUGGAUAACCUACCUAUAAGACUGGGAUAACUUCGGGAAACCGGAGCUAAUACCGGAUAAUAUUUUGAACCGCAUGGUUCAAAAGUGAAAGACGGUCUUGCUGUCACUUAUAGAUGGAUCCGCGCUGCAUUAGCUAGUUGGUAAGGUAACGGCUUACCAAGGCAACGAUGCAUAGCCGACCUGAGAGGGUGAUCGGCCACACUGGAACUGAGACACGGUCCAGACUCCUACGGGAGGCAGCAGUAGGGAAUAUUCCGCAAUGGGCGAAAGCCUGACGGAGCAACGCCGCGUGAGUGAUGAAGGUCUUCGGAUCGUAAAACUCUGUUAUUAGGGAAGAACAUAUGUGUAAGUAACUGUGCACAUCUUGGCGGUACCUAAUCAGAAAGCCACGGCUAACUACGUG
rnacentral:rRNA from 1 species